UUUAUAGAUGUUGAACUAAGUUCUGUCUAUGAUCUGUUCUUCACCAAGAACCCCAUACAAUACCGAAACCUUAAAGUGAGUUUAGCUCUUCGAGGCUUCUGUUUCGGUUCCACAAUUUGUUCAUGGGUUGCUUUGACAUCAGUGGUGGCUAGGCAUAAGUAUUCGACAAUCGACGUCUGCGUAUCUUACUUACUGCUGAUGGGAGCCAUUUCUCUGGAUGUUUAUUCGUUUCUCAUGCAUCCUAUCUCGACCUAGGCAAUGAUCCUGCUGCCCAUUCCUCAAAAGGAAGUAGAUAAGAUGUAUGUUAGAUUUGUUGCCUCUAGAUUAAAGAGUAUUAAGGCCAAGUCCGGAAUAAAAUCGAUGGCGCAACAUGAUCUAAUCAAGUAUUGUGUCAAGGGCAAAACAAGUAGCUUCGCUGGAGCCAUAAGGCUUUUUGACACUGGCAACCUUCUGCAGAAGUAUGGUUACACCAACUGGAUUCCGGUUGAUCAUGCUUUAAAGAACUUCAUCGAUGCUUAUUUG